rnacentral:tRNA from 1 species
GAGGCUGUAGCUCAGUGAUAAAGCACUUGCUUCGCAUGUGUGAGGCACUGAGUUCGAUCCUCAGCACCACA